GCAGCGCGGGGCAACCUGGCGGCGAGUGGCGAACGGGUGAGUAAUAUAUCGGAACGUGCCCUGGAGUGGGGGAUAACGCAGCGAAAGUUGCGCUAAUACCGCAUACGAUCUAAGGAUGAAAGCGGGGGAUUCGCAAGAACCUCGUGCUCCUGGAGCGGCCGAUAUCUGAUUAGCUAGUUGGUGGGGUAAAGGCCUACCAAGGCAUCGAUCAGUAGCUGGUCUGAGAGGACGACCAGCCACACUGGAACUGAGACACGGUCCAGACUCCUACGGGAGGCAGCAGUGGGGAAUUUUGGACAAUGGGCGAAAGCCUGAUCCAGCAAUGCCGCGUGAGUGAAGAAGGCCUUCGGGUUGUAAAGCUCUUUUGUCAGGGAAGAAACGGUGAAGGCUAAUAUCCUUUGCUAAUGACGGUACCUGAAGAAUAAGCACCGGCUAACUACGUGCCAGCAGCCGCGGUAAUACGUAGGGUGCAAGCGUUAAUCGGAAUUACUGGGCGUAAAGCGUGCGCAGGCGGUUUUGUAAGUCUGUCGUGAAAUCCCCGGGCUCAACCUGGGAAUUGCGAUGGAGACUGCAAGGCUAGAAUCUGGCAGAGGGGGGUAGAAUUCCACGUGUAGCAGUGAAAUGCGUAGAGAUGUGGAGGAACACCGAUGGCGAAGGCAGCCCCCUGGGUCAAGAUUGACGCUCAUGCACGAAAGCGUGGGGAGCAAACAGGAUUAGAUACCCUGGUAGUCCACGCCCUAAACGAUGUCUACUAGUUGUCGGGUUUUAAUUAACUUGGUAACGCAGCUAACGCGUGAAGUANACCGCCUGGGGAGUGCGGUCGCAAGAUUAAAACUCAAAGGAAUUGACGGGGACCNGCACAAGCGGUGGAUGAUGUGGAUUAAUUCGAUGCAACGCGAAAAANNUUACCUACC
rnacentral:rRNA from 1 species